rnacentral:lncRNA from 1 species
GUUGUGGUGGUGAGGGGAGGAACAGCACGAUCGGUUUUGACCGGGAUUACAUGCAUUUUUCGGAUCUAUCUAGUGGUUAGCCUUAAGGAUUUACGUAGUAGGAGAUAUCCACAGUCCCAUAUUCCGUCCUAAAGGUGAGCGAGCAGCGAGUGAUCGGCUGUUUGGAGGAAGGUACUGGCAGGUGACGCGGAGUCAGGGAUCGUCUUUGAUGGACGUGCAUUUGUAAGAGCGUGGCUGCUGCCCCAACCUCCCCUUCGACGCAUGCGAGGGACGUCGCUGCGUCACUUGAGACGAGUCGACGUCAGGCAUUGAACGGGUCUGUUCGCUUGAAGGUGAACACGCAUUUUUCUUCUUCGUUUUAA